GGAUGAUGUUGCGUGACAACAUUGUGACAUCAUAACUUACGCUGUUUUAUUUGCUGUUGCACCAAUAUAACAUAAAGGCAUAUAACAGCACCUUGGAUGUAUGUAGUGCUUCCCUCCCAUGGAACUUAAGGCACUUCACAGGCAUUUUCUUUCUAAACCUCACAACAUCUCUCUAAGGAAAAGUGCUUUGCAAGAGUUGGAGAAAAGACAAAUACUCAAACCAAUCAUGCCUCAGAAAGAAGCCUUGAGUCAGCCUGCAACACUUUCCACUUUCCAGUGUCAGCCUCAGUUGCAGGACCAUUAUCAAGCAAGCAAGAUUAUAUGCCACACACAGAACACAAAGAAAAGUUGUCAUUUUAGCAAACAGAGCAGAAUGCUUUCUCUAGUCUGGGAUGGCUGACCAUCCUUAGAUUGAGUGGAAAAGCUCUUCUGAACCUUCUAUUUGAUGCCAUACGUGGAAUGUGAAGUCAAGUUGGGCCUUAGAAAUCAUCACUACGAACAAAGCUAGUGGAGGUGAUGGAAUUCCAGUUGAGCUGUUUCAAAUCCUGAAAGAUGAUGCUGUGAAAGUGCUGCACUCAAUAUGCCAGCAAGUUUGGAAAACUCAGCAGUGGCCACAGGACUGGAAAAGGUCAGUUUUCAUUCCAAUUCCAAAGAAAGGCAAUGCCAAAGAAUGCUCAAACUACUACACAAU
ensembl:lncRNA